CCUACGGGAGGCAGCAGUGAGGAAUAUUGGUCAAUGGGCGCGAGCCUGAACCAGCCAAGUAGCGUGAAGGAUGACUGCCCUACGGGUUGUAAACUUCUUUUAUAAAGGAAUAAAGUGAGGCACGUGUGCCUUUUGGUAUGUACUUUAUGAAUAAGGAUCGGCUAACUCCGUGCCAGCAGCCGCGGUAAUACGGAGGAUCCGAGGGUUAUCCGGUUUUAUUGGGUUUAAAGGGUGCGUAGGUGGAUCGUUAAGUCAGUGGUCAACUUGAGGGGCUCAACCCCUUCCCGCAAUUGAAACUGGCGUUGUUGAGUGGAAGAGAGGUAUGCGGAAUGCGUGGUGUAGCGGUGAAAUGCAUAGAUAUCACACAGAACCCCGAUUGCGAAGGCAGCAUGCCGGCUUCCGACUGACGCUGAAGCACGAAAGCGUGGGGAUCGAACAGGAUUAGAUACCCCUGUAGUC
rnacentral:rRNA from 1 species